GACGAACGCUGGCGGCGCGCCUAACACAUGCAAGUCGAACGAGCGAGAGAGAGCUUGCUUUCUUGAGCGAGUGGCGAACGGGUGAGUAACGCGUGAGGAACCUGCCUCAAAGAGGGGGACAACAGUUGGAAACGACUGCUAAUACCGCAUAAGCCCACGACCCGGCAUCGGGUUGAGGGAAAAGGAGCAAUCCGCUUUGAGAUGGCCUCGCGUCCGAUUAGCUAGUUGGGGAGGUAACGGCCCACCAAGGCGACGAUCGGUAGCCGGACUGGGAGGUUGAACGGCCACAUGGGGAGUGAGACAGGGCCAAGACUCGAGGGGGAGGAAGCGGGGGGGAAUAUGACAAAAGGGGGGAAAACCUGAUGCGGCAGCGCGGGGGGAAGGAAGAAGGUGUUGGUAUUAUAAACCCAUGUUGUGGAGAAAGAUAAGGAGGUUACUCAAAAGGGAGGUGGGGACAACGUAGGUC
rnacentral:rRNA from 1 species